GCGGGUCGGCGGCGGCGAGCGACUGCGGGCAGGCGGGGCGAAGCGCGCCCUAAGAGCGGAGCGCGGAGGGGUUUUCCCUCUUUGUGACGUAAGAACAGCGCGGGAAUCCCUCCCCCCCCCGUGGCGGGAGCGUGUCGGAGCGCGCCCGGGCCGGUGGCGGUGCGCCGAAAUAAAGUGGGCACCUGAAGAUUGAAGGAUUGUGCAGCUGGGAAGGGAGAAUCCCGAGAUGCUGUGCAUGGAGCCAUGCCAGUGUCAGACAUUGUGGUCAGAGCAGCACUGGGGAUCAAGAGCAGCGCGUGACCAACCUGCAGCAUGACUAAUGCCAGUGGGCAGAUGUGAUGAAAGGAAAACGAAUGCUGAAGAAACGAAAACAAGAGCAGGAGUGAAAGGAAAGCGAACAGUUUUUUUUUUUCUCUGAACUCUAAUGCUUGUGCUGAAUCAGCUUCAAGCAGCGCCUCUGUAUAAAAUUAAAUAAAUCAUCACUACCGCUUC